rnacentral:tRNA from 1 species
GCGGAGAUGGCGGAAUUGGCAGACGCACUAGCUUGAGGUGCUAGCAAACGCAAGUUUGUGGGGGUUCAAGUCCCCCUCUCCGCACCA